GAUGAACGCUGGCGGCGUGCUUAACACAUGCAAGUCGAACGAAGCACUUUUGAUUGAUUUCCUCGGAAAGAUUUCACUUGUGACUGAGUGGCGGACGGGUGAGUAACGCGUGGGUAACCUGCCUCAUACAGGGGGAUAACAGUUAGAAAUGACUGCUAAUACCGCAUAAGCGCACAGUAUCGCAUGAUACAGUGUGAAAAACUCCGGUGGUAUGAGAUGGACCCGCGUCUGAUUAGCUAGCUGGUGAGGUAACGGCCCACCAAGGCGACGAUCAGUAGCCGACCUGAGAGGGUGACCGGCCACAUUGGGACUGAGACACGGCCCAAACUCCUACGGGAGGCAGCAGUGGGGAAUAUUGCACAAUGGGCGAAAGCCUGAUGCAGCGACGCCGCGUGAACGAAGAAGUAUUUCGGUAUGUAAAGUUCUAUCAGCAGGGAAGAUAAUGACGGUACCUGACUAAGAAGCACCGGCUAAAUACGUGCCAGCCGCCGCGGUAAUAC
rnacentral:rRNA from 1 species